rnacentral:rRNA from 1 species
UACGUAGGGGGCAAGCGUUAUCCGGAAUUACUGGGUGUAAAGGGUGCGUAGGUGGUAUGGCAAGUCAGAAGUGAAAACCCAGGGCUUAACUCUGGGACUGCUUUUGAAACUGUCAGACUGGAGUACAGGAGAGGUAAGCGGAAUUCCUAGUGUAGCGGUGAAAUGCGUAGAUAUUAGGAGGAACAUCAGUGGCGAAGGCGGCUUACUGGACUGAAACUGACACUGAGGCACGAAAGCGUGGGGAGCAAACAGG